rnacentral:rRNA from 1 species
CCUACGGGUGGCAGCAGUGGGGAAUAUUGGACAAUGGGGGAAACCCUGAUCCAGCGACGCCGCGUGAGUGAAGAAGUAUUUCGGUACGUAAAGCUCUAUCAGCAGGGAAGAAAAUGACGGUACCUGACUAAGAAGCCCCGGCUAACUACGGGCCAGCAGCCGCGGUAAUACGUAGGGUGCAAGCGGUAUGCGGAUUUACUGGGGGUAAAGGGUGCGUAAACGGGAGCGGAAGUCUGGUGUGAAAUGCCGGGGCCCAACCCCGGAACUGCACUGGAAACUGUGAAGCUGGAGUGCCUGAGAGGUAAGCGGAAUUCCUGGUGUAGCGGUGAAAUGCGUAGAGAUCAGGAGGAACACCGACGGCGAAGGCGGCUUACUGGACUGUAACUGACGUUGAGGCUCGAAGGCGUGGGGAGCAAACAGGAUUAGAUACCCCGGUAGUC